rnacentral:rRNA from 1 species
AGAGUUUGAUCCUGGCUCAGGAUGAACGCUGGCGGCGUGCUUAACACAUGCAAGUCGAACGGGCAUUUUGGGAAACUGGAAUGCUAGUGGCAAACGGGUGCGUAACACGUGGGCGACCUACCUCAAAGUGGGGAACAACGGACCGAAAGGUUCGCUAAUACCGCAUACGCUCGGUGAUUCAUUUUGUCGAGUAAAGCCGUAAGGCGCUUUGAGAGGGGCCUGCGUCCCAUCAGGUAGUUGGUGAGGUAAAGGCCCACCAAGCCGAUGACGGGUAGCUGUUCUGAGAGGAAGAUCAGCCACACUGGCACUGAGAUACGGGCCAGACUCCUACGGGAGGCAGCAGUGAGGAAUAUUGCGCAAUGGACGAAAGUCUGACGCAGCGACGCCGCGUGGGCGACGAAGGCCUUCGGGUCGUAAAGCCCUUUUAGCAGGGACGAGUGAGGACGGUACCUGCUGAAUAAGUCUCGGCUAACUACGUGCCAGCAGCCGCGGUAAAACGUAGGAGGCGAGCGUUAUCCGGAUUCACUGGGCGUAAAGCGCGCGUAGGCGGUUAGGUAAGUCGGACGUUAAAGCCCCUGGCUCAACUGGGGGAGGUCGUUCGAUACUGCUUGGCUUGAGGGUGAGAGGGGAGAGUGGAAUUCCCGGUGUAGCGGUGGAAUGCGUAGAGAUCGGGAGGAACACCAGUGGCGAAGGCGGCUCUCUGGCUCACUUCUGACGCUGAUAGUGCGACAGCGUGGGGAGCAAACGGGAUUAGAUACCCUGGUAGUCC